rnacentral:lncRNA from 1 species
CCUCAAUUUCCCACUGCGGGCGGCGAUAAUCCUCAGCCUGGUGCCAAGGUCCGGCCCCGUCCAGAACUUCCUCCCAGGUCCACUUCUCCCGCCAGUCCAACUCGAAUUCCCUCUGCUCCUUCUUCUGCUGCUUGGUCCAUAGUUGGUGGGUGAUUCUGUCACGGUUGUCGUCGGUGAAUGAGGACCAAAACGCAGCAGGCGGGACGGCCAAGGGUACUCUGUGCGGAGAACCGUCCGCUCCCUUAGACAGUGCCAGCAGCCGAUCCUCUUCCCCAAAAACAAUGAGACAGACGAGGUCACCACCUCCAUCAAUGUUCCUUUAGGGGUUGAGGAGUGCCAGCAGGCAAACAAUGGAGAAAGGCCCUAACAUGGCAUUGGUCUUCAGCUUGUCCACUCUCAUGUUUGUCCUCAUCACAGGGACGGAGACAUUCAAAAGUCUAAAUCAGCGCCCAGAGUUGAAGCAGGUAAUCCAGGUGGAAUCUGGGAAGGAUACAGUCCUAGACUGCUCUGUGAAGUUCAGUGAGAAAUCCCUGGUAAUGUAAACAUAGAGCAGGUCGUGUUGUGGAAGCUGGACCAGAAUGGUCUUCGCAAAGGUGAACCUGUGUUCAAAUACAACAUCUACAAUCAACAAUCCUCCAAUCCCAGGAUGCUGCUGAGCCCAUAAUAUUAGCUUCCAUGCCACCUGCUAAUGAGAAAAACAAAGUUGUGUCCCUGUUGGUCAAAGAAACUCAGCUUGAAGACGUGGGUCCGUAUGAGUGUAUGGUAAACACACAUGCUGAAGUUCACAGUACCAGACCAGCACCAGGUUCCUGAGAAUGCUGCGAAUCAAGAGGAAAUUCCAAAGAACAGUUACAUGAGUGUGGCUGCUGUAUUUGUGGUAGUAGGCUCUCUUGCCAUUGGACUGCUGCUUCUCAAGCUGUUUCAAGCCAGAAGACUCAGACAACGUGAGCACCCAGGGUCAUGUCCAUUAGGGCACACUGUUGCAAAACACUUCAAGAAGUUAUUCAGAUAGUUCCUCCCCGUUUCAGACCACUUCUUUCCAUUUCAUGCCUAGUGAACACGACCCUGCUUUUCACAGUCUUCGCAGAAAGGAAUGCGGCGGUCUGGGAAGAUGCCAUGAUAUUGCAAUAGAAUAAGUGGAAUGGAGAACUAACUGCUCAGACAAGAGGACUGAACUUAGUUUUUGAAUUGUUUUAGUUUCUCUAUUGCUCUCCUCCUUCCCAGAUAGGAAUUCAGGAUUUGUUAUUGUAUUGUCAGUGAGUGAUAAAUCACAA